UGGGGAAUUUUCCGCAAUGGGCGCAAGCCUGACGGAGCAAUACCGCGUGAGGGAGGAAGGCUUUUGGGUUGUAAACCUCUUUUCUCAAGGAAGAAGCACUGACGGUACUUGAGGAAUCAGCAUCGGCUAACUUCGUGCCAGCAGCCGCGGUAAUACGAAGGGGGCUAGCGUUGUUCGGAAUUACUGGGCGUAAAGCGCGCGUAGGCGGAUUGUUAAGUCAGGGGUGAAAUCCCGAGGCUCAACCUCGGAACUGCCUCUGAUACUGGCAAUCUCGAGUCCGGAAGAGGUUGGUGGAAUUCCGAGUGUAGAGGUGAAAUUCGUAGAUAUUCGGAGGAACACCAGAGGCGAAGGCGGCCAACUGGUCCGAGACUGACGCUGAGGCGCGAAAGCGUGGGGAGCAAACAGGAUUAGAUACCCCUGUAGUCC
rnacentral:rRNA from 1 species